UCCGGUUCAGUUCUGAAACUCAGCUCUGGGAACACAGCAAGAAAGUGAACUUCAAACAAGCCUCCAAGUAUAAGAUCUCCAUCCUGCUUCAAAGGGUCAAACGUCACAUCAGAAAUGAUCGGUUCAGGACAGCCGAGGAAAAACCACUACAAUACCAAGACUGUCUUUUUUAGUGUUUCUCUCUGGAUGUAAGAGGAUGAUGUAGCACUUCGGGGCAAAAAUGGCCACCAGCAAUCCAAAACUGGAUGCCAGGAUGGCAAAAAUCUCCACAGCCACUGCAUAUUUCCCUGGUGAGCUGACAUAAGCUGGAACAAACGCAAUCCACACAGCACAAAAGAUCAACAAACUAAAGGUAAUGAACUUUGCUUCAUUAAAACUAUCUGGAAGAUUCCUUGCUAGAAAAGCUAACAUGAAGCUCACAGCUGCCAGAAACCCAAUGUAGCCCAGCAGCACAGCGAAUCCAGCCACUGAACCAAUAGCACAUUCAUAAACUAUUUUGGAGCUGACAUACUGACUGUUUUUAUGAGGUGUUGGAGAUGCAGUUGAGAGCCAAA